rnacentral:tRNA from 1 species
UUUAGUUUAGCAAAAAAAUGCAGUUGAUUUAGAAUCAGGAGAUACUUUAUAAAAGUAAUUAAAG